rnacentral:rRNA from 1 species
GGGGACGACGUCAAGUCAUCAUGGCCCUUACGAGUAGGGCUACACACGUGCUACAAUGGCGUAUACAGAGGGCUGCAAGCUAGCGAUAGUGAGCGAAUCCCACAAAGUACGUCGUAGUCCGGAUUGGAGUCUGCAACUCGACUCCAUGAAGUCGGAAUCGCUAGUAAUCGUGAAUCAGAAUGUCACGGUGAAUACGUUCCCGGGCCUUGUACACACCGCCCGUCACACCAUGGGAGUGGGCUGCACCAGAAGUAGAUAGCUUAACCUUCGGGAGGGCGUUUACCACGGUGUGGUUCAUGACUGGGGUGAAGUCGUAACAAGGUAGCCCUAGGGGAACCUGGGGCUGGAUCACCUCCUUACCUAAAGA